rnacentral:rRNA from 1 species
UACGUAGGAUGCAAGCGUUGUCCGGAAUUAUUGGGCGUAAAGAGUUCGUAGGCGGAUUAUUAAGUCGGGGGUUAAAGACCGAGGCUCAACCUCGGGAGUGCCCUCGAUACUGGUAGUCUGGAGGAUGGCAGAGGAAAGUGGAAUUCCAAGUGUAGCGGUGAAAUGCGUAGAUAUUUGGAGGAACACCGGUGGCGAAAGCGACUUUCUGGGCCAUUCCUGACGCUGAGGAACGAAAGCGUGGGGAGCAAACAGG